rnacentral:rRNA from 1 species
UCCCCCAGUAACUGCGAGUGAAGAGGGAAGAGCUCAUCAUUGGAAUCUGGCAGCGUCUCGCUGUCCGAGUUGUAGAUGAGAAGAGUGGGCCAUCUGGACUGCAUGGUGUCCAAGUACAAUAGGCCGUCAGUGGGACAUCAUAGAGGGUGACAAUCCCGUCCUUGACACCGAUGUACGAGUCCUUUGCGAUGCCUAUCUCGGAGAGUCGAGCAGUUUGGGAUUUGCUGCUUAAACAUGGGAGGUAGAUUCCUUCCAAGGCUAAAUACAGGCAAGAGACCGAUAGAGAACAAGUACCGCAAGGGAAAGAUGAAAUAGAACUCUGUGAAGGGAGUCAAAAGACGUGAAAUUGUUGCGAGAGAAGCGAUUCGAGUCAGCGUAGCUGGGCCCAUCAAGCCUCGCGCUUUGGACCAGCUUUGCCAGCGGUCUUGUCCUAGAGACUCGACUAAGGUGCCCUGCCCGGUCUGACGGGCAGACCUCCCUCCUGGGGAGGCCAGCGGCACGGCUGGUGGAAUGGCUUGCAAUCGACCCGUCUUGAAACACGGACCAAGGAGUCUAACAUGCAUGCGAGUAUAAGGGUGGCAAACCCGUAUGCGCAAAGAAAGUGAUGGCCUUUAAUGGCUGUGAAUGACCUGAUGACCAGACAAGCAAUAUCAUGUUCCUCGUACGGUCAUUGCCCAAGUCCCGUGGUCAGAUCCCAUGGACAUGGAGUUGGAGCGUGCAUGCUAGGACCCGAAAGAUGGUGAACUAUGCCUGGACAAAGCGAAGCCAAAGGAAACUCUGGUGGAGGCUUGUAGCGAUUCUGACGUGCAAAUCGAUCGUCUGAUCUGGGUAUAGGGGCGAAAGACUAAUCGAACCAUCUCAUAGCUGGUUCCUGCCGAA